UGAACUCCUGUUCUACACUUCCCC
rnacentral:piRNA from 1 species